GAGAGAGAGAGAGGGAGAGAGAGGGACACUCACUGGCUGUUUAGCUGCCUUCACUGUUAAUCUCUCUCUGAAAGACAACAGACUAUUGUACUGACUUUAGGACAGAUCAUUUGUGGAGGCUUUGCCCUGUUUUCAUUUGGGACAGACAGAUUGCUGAACUUUGCAGUAAGCCAAAAUGAAAAAUCAAAGGGAAAAUUGUCAUUGAACCAAAACGUGGAAGAGAGAUCGGAAAUAGCCAUUUAUUUUCUAGCUUUUUCAUUCUUCGUUAUUUUUUUAAAACUCAAAGGAAAGCUUGGAGGAAUGUGUGGAGUAGGGAAACAGAACUAUGCAUUACCAAAGCGACGGCGAUGUGAUCUCCACUCACAGAGGGAGCUCCUGUUACAUGUCGGGAGCCGAGUUUCACAGGAAGUUACUUGUUUACCAGUCGAGUUCAGGAGCCUUGAUCGAGUCACUGCUGUGUAACCGGAGAGGGACAGCAGGAUUUCUCAGUAGAUAAGCUGUCCAAUAGGAGAAGAGCUAAGGAACAGUCUCACUUCAAGCUUACCCAGUUUACUGAGGAAAAUCUCUUUUGAGGAACACACCCAGUGUAAAGUAGCGAGACUUCGGAGGAAGUGAGGCCUUCGCUGACUUUUUCCCUCCCGUAUUUUGAAUCCAUACAGGUCAUAUCCCUGGUCAGAUGCUGAGAAUAAGGACAUACCCUCUACAGAGAACACACUACUGCACAUUUUCAUGCACAGAUAUGGUCAAUUGAACAUAGGGGAAAAUAUUAAAAACAUAAAAUGAGGCCUAUACAAAUACGUUAGAGAAAUUUGCAGGAAAAUGCAGUUUCCUGUAGAGGCUCACUUAUUUUCACUUGGUUCAAAAAAAAACGUGAUGUGAUUUCAAACUUUUGCAUACUUGCUAUUUAUUAACACUUGUUGAUAUUUUUGCCUUAUGUUGCUGGAGUUGGCUAUUCAUAUCUUUUAUCUAAGCAAAUUCUAGCCAGUGUUUGUGAGUUUACAUGUUGCGCUCUGUAUAUUUGAACAGCUUUAUACUGUAUAUGUGUGGACGUAAACCUCAGAAAAGCAGAGGCCGAAGGAGUUUAAUGUUGUAGAUCUGAGUUUGAGGGCCUUGUGCGUGUUCCUGGUGAAGUGCAGCCUCGCAGAGGCUGGCAGCAGCACAGCUUGAGCUUCAGUCCGACACGGUGUUGUGAGCUUUUUCUGCUUUCGCUCAGUUUGUCUCGUCAUGGGCUGCCUUCACAUUGAGCAGAGUAAACGGUUCAGAUGCUCAGAGGAAAACGGAGUCUGUGAUAGGACUGAACUUUUGGACUGCCCUGCUUUUGUUUAGCUCAGCAGAUGGUUAUGUUUAGAACUAAUUUAUUAAAGGAAUACUGAAGCUUUGGCUUCUGUUGUGUGUUUAAAACAAAUGGAUUUUCUGUUGUUUUACUAACAUGACGUCUCUUAUUGACUGUAUGCUACAGACGCAGGACACUAGGUUGAGUGUUUCCUUUAAAGAGAAUUGAUUCACUGCUUCGAGCUUAAAUCCCUGGUCGAUUUUCUCAGGUUCUGACUGUGGCUCAAUGUAUACUAAUAACUCAAAUGCAUGCUAAUGAAGUAUCUAGGCUUAGAAACACCCGAGGCCUUUUUCUAAUAGUUUAGACUGAAAUACAAUGGUAACUCGGCACGUUUCAGAAAUGACCAUCUUUUCUCUGUAAGCUCGUCUAGCUCUCAAGGCUAAAUCCCACUGCUAAGUCUGUCAACUGUUUUCUAUGUGACCAGCAGCUCCAGCACUUUCAUCAAGACCAUACCUUUAAGUCCAACAUUACUAAGCAAUAAUUAAACAAAUUAAAGGAACAGUGAGGAAUGUUUUCACUUGAUUGUUUGGCUCACUGCUGGUAAAUCAGCCGUGGUGUUUUUCCAGCUCGUGAGCUUCGCCAUAUAAUCUACUACCAUUUUAUCAAUGUGAUGUUCUGUUGAAUCCAAUGAAUAAUCUACUUCUUGCGCCUUUAAAUUGUAUAAACGUCAGGAGAACAGCUUCAGGUGAAGCGUGUUGGUUUAUUUUUUUAUCUUUCUCUUGAUUCCCAUUGACCUUAAAGAAGAGGGGGGUCCAGUCGUUGACCCGAAUUGACCAAAACGUCCUUCUAAACGGGUUUUUCUGGCAGGGCAAGCACCGGCACGUUUCUGUUCUGUGUUUUACGGUGUGUUGUCGAACCAGAUUAUCCAAAAUUCAUGCCUUCUUUUGCUUUUUUUGUUGAUUUUCAGAAUUAAUCCAUUGUUUUAAGGUGAUAAUGCAAAGGUGUUUGCAAUAAAAAAGUUUAUAUACAGGUGAAAGGAAAUAAGAAAAAUCUAUAUUAUGAAAAUCUAAAAUGCAAUGUAUCGUUUAUUUAAAGACAAAAAAAAAAAAAAAAAAAAAAAAACAACACUACAGACGUGUCCGCUGUAUUGAUCCUAGCUUCAGCAUUCCAUCCUCGUGUACUUCCAAAACAUUUGGAACUGGCAUAUACAGUUGUGAUUCAAUGAAAAGAAGUAUAAAUAAAGUUUUCACGGAAUAAACUUCAUUUCUGGUUGUAUUUCUGCUUU
ensembl:lncRNA